GGAGAAGUACCCAAGAGGCCGAAGGGGGCGGUUUGCUAAACCGUUAGCCGGUGUAUAGCCGGGCUCGGGUUCGAAUCCCGACUUCUCCGCCA
rnacentral:tRNA from 1 species